UACGUAGGGUGCAAGCGUUUGUCCGGAAUUAUUGGGCGUAAAGAGCUUGUAGGCGGUUUGUCGCGUCUGCUGUGAAAAUCCGGGGCUCAACCCCGGACUUGCAGUGGGUACGGGCAGGCUAGAGUGUGGUAGGGGAGACUGGAAUUCCUGGUGUAGCGGUGGAAUGCGCAGAUAUCAGGAGGAACACCGAUGGCGAAGGCAGGUCUCUGGGCAUUAACUGACGCUGAGGAGCGAAAGCAUGGGGAGCGAACAGG
rnacentral:rRNA from 1 species